CGGAGAAUGAACGCUACUGUCAACUACAGACUCUACUAAAAAAUGUAUGAAAAUUAGCCGGGCGCAGUGGAGCACGCCUGUAAUCCCAGCGGCUCGGGAGGCUGAGGCAGGAGGAUCACGAGUUUGAGGUCAGCCUCAGCAAUGUAGUGAGACUACGUCUCAAAAUAAGAAGUAAAAAGACCAAACAAAAGUCACACGCAGCACACCUUUCACUGUGUCUCUGUUAACGGCAUUUUCUUAUUUUCUUCAUUCAGAUGUCAGCUACCUACCUGUCUAGCUGAUUCCUAGAGAUGGAAACCACUCGCCUUCAAACGGACUCACAUGCAAACCUUCCAGAGCCCACACCCCAACACCUCUGUUAUCAGGCUCACACUGGACCAUGGUCCACCGGUCCCCCAUCACCCCAGGAACAGACCUCCGGAAGCCCGCCACACCCGAAGCCCACUAAAACUACUCAGGCUGGCCAGCUAGGCUUCUCACCUGGCCUCUGCCGUUUCUCCCUUCCCAUGGAAACAGUUAAGACCCCCACCCAGCCGCCCCUGCUCUCGCCCUCUGCCUGCCCUCCCUGCAUGGGCCUGUGUGGUAAGACCUGGCCACCUCUUGAGCCCCAGCAAGGGCGUCCCCCUCCGUCUGUUGGCCUCCUCACACCUGCAUAAGAAUCAGACAUGCGUUGUAAGCAGGGCCAACCCAGGGCCCAGCACGGGGCCCAGCACUGGGCAGCUUGUCCACCUCGGGUUGUUUUCAGGGCCACAGCAAGAGAAGCAAAGAGAAGUGGGUUCACCACAGACUCAGCCAGAUCCGUGCCCUCUGCCUUCCUAGACCACAGGACGGGGGACGAGCCCCUCUCCUUUGUUCCCUGGUGAGUAAACUGAGGCCCAGACAGGGGACACUUUGCCCAAGGCGUCAGGCCAGCGAGUGGAAGCCACAGAAGCCAGCACAGGAGCCCCGCUGAGUCCCAUGCCCCACCUCCCAGCUGGGCAGAGGGGGUGCAGCCACCCACAGCCACCCAUUUUCACCCAAGCUCCCCGAGGCCCGGCCCAGGCCAGGCAGGUCACCUUCCUGCCUGCUCCUCAGGGCUGGGGCUCUCCUUAUGGGGUCCUCUAAGCGGGUGGAGAGGCGGUGAAGUUAUCAAGAAGUGCUCAGACCGGCAGCGGGAGAAAUAAAUAAAUAACCG
rnacentral:lncRNA from 1 species